GACGAACGCUGGCGGCGUGCCUAACACAUGCAAGUCGAACGCUUCUUUCCUCCCGUGUUCUUGCACUCGAUUGGCAAGCGGAUUGGCGGACGGUUGAGUACCUCCUCUGUAACCUACCCUUCAGUCGGGGAUCACACUUGGAAACAGGUUCUAAUACCGCAUAACAUUUUAUGCCUCAUGGCAUUACAGUGAAAGGCGCUUUCCGCUGUCGUUGAUGGCUUGACCCGCGGUGCAUUAGCUAGUUGGUGAGGUAAGGGCUCCCUGAGGCGGCGAUGGAUAGACGAACGGAGAGGGUGAUCGGCGACACGAGGACUGGGACACGGACAAGACUACUGAGAGAGGCAGCAGAAGGGAAUCGUAGGCAGUGGACGAAAGUCUGACAGAGCGACGCCGAGUGAGUGAAGAAGGUGUUCGGAGCGUAAAAAUGUGUUGUUGGAGAAGAACAAGGACGGUAGGAACUGAACGGCGAGUGACGGUAUCGAAUCAGAAAGCAACGGCUAACUACGUG
rnacentral:rRNA from 1 species